rnacentral:lncRNA from 1 species
ACUCGCUGGGAGGCAGCUGCGAUUAGCGCCCUAAUCCCCAGCGCAGACCGCGCAGAGACCGGAGCGGGAGCGGGGCCGCGGCGGGAGCCCCCCACCGUCCCGGGCAGUCCAGACGGCCGGGGCAGCGUGGGAACUGGGACCUCGGGGACCCAGCGCGGCGGCUGUCAGCUCUGGGCCUACACACCCAUGGAAGAGAAAAUCCCUGUGAAAUAUAAGGGCCCCUUCUACGUGCUCAAGAUUAAAAAAAAAAAAAAGGAAAAAGUAGCUCUCACAUGCUUUUGGCAAGUUUUUGAACCAGCUGAUGUAUGGGCCAGGUGAUGUAUGGACCCCUGAUAUAUGGAGCAGCUGAUGUAUGGACCCCUGGUAUAUAGACCACUGAUGUGUGAACCUCCUGAUGAGUGACCCACCAAUAUAUGGACCAGUUGAUGUAUGGACCCACUGAUGUAUGGACCAGCUGAUGUAUGCACCCACUCAGGGAUGGAAGAAAAGGGGAGACUGUGGUUCACCUUCAGUGAUAUGUAAUUGGGAAGACCAAACUUGCACCUCUGAACAAGGAGAGACCAAGACGUGAGAAAGGAGGACUCAGGAAGGAUUUGAAUGCUGCGUCGGAUGUCCCUAGACUGGAGAACAGGCACGGCCUACUUGGCAAGAAAGCAGCUUCAGCAAAGCCACAGAAAUGAGGCUAAGCCAAGAGCAGGGAGGACGGCCAGCCAUUUGGGGCGGAGAGGACACAUAUGGGAGUAGCUGGAAAUAAAUCUGACUUAUAGAUACUUAGUAAGUGGCUGUAUAAUUCUUUUUAAAGAACACUGCUCACAGACAGUGGCCUGGUGGAGAGCGUGACUUGAAUCAAUAAUUUCCAACCACGUUGAUGUUCCGAGACAUUGUAAUUGUUGGUUUGAUUUCACAACGUUCCACUUUCCCCCUCCGUAUCUCUCCAAAGAGCUCAUCAGAAUGGCAUCUGAGUCCUGAACACAUCAAGUUUUCCCUUUGUGGGGCUUUGCAAAGGCUUCUUGAGAAUUUCCAACUCUAAGAUAAAAUAAUACUUGGGCUGAAAAUCUAAGCACCAUGUUUCCCUGUGGGCACGCACCACCUGAGUUCCCGUUCAGACACACUCCACAGCCAUGUCCAUUUGGAGAGAUGGCAGAGGGGAAGCCUACCAAAGACUCUUAC